rnacentral:rRNA from 1 species
UGAUGUAUAUCGACUCUGUCGAAUAAAGUUCUAGUUAAGUUAUGAUAAUGACAUUUCUUAAUUAUAUUGUCUUGACCAAAUUACGUGCCAGCAGUCGCGGUAAUACGUAGAAGACUAGUGUUAUUCAUCUUUAACAGGUAUAUAGGGUACCUAGACGGUAAUUCAAGCCCAUAAAGGGUACUAAUUUACUAGAGUUUGAUAAGAGAGGGGGAGAACUAAUGAGUGUAGAGAUGAAAUUUAAUGAUACCAUUAGGACAGACAAAGGCGAAAGCGACCUUUUACAUAAAAACUGACGUUGAGGGACGAAGGCUUUACUCGUGAAAAGGAUUAGAUACCCAAGUAAUUAAAGCAGACAAUGAUGAAUGCCAUAGAUUAGGAAAUUGAUCUAUAAAUGAAAGUGUAAGCAUUCCACCUCAAGAGUAAUGUGGCAACGCAGAAACUGAAAUCAUUAGACCGUUUCUGAAACCAGUAGUGAAGUAUGUUGUUUAAUUAGAUAAUCCGCAAAAGACCUCACCACAAUUUGAAUAUUAUUAUUACAAUAAUACAAGCGUUGCACGGCUGUCUUCAGUUAAUGUCGUGAGAUUAGGUUAGUUCCAUUAAAUUAACGUAAACCCUUGCUUUAUUUAUUUAUUUAUUUUAUAAAGUAGAUCACCACUAUAUUGGAUAUGAUAAAAGGGACUAAGACAAGUCAUCAUGGCCUGAAUAUUGUGGGCUA